CUGCCCGCCUCUCCCCACCUCCGCCAGGGGCCCCAAUGAGGACCUCCCCAGGAAAACAGCGCCACCCAGCGGAUAGUCGCCGCACAGCGUUCCAGGACUGUCUGGCCACGCCCCGUACGUCCUCACGUCACUGAGACGCGGAGCAUCCAUUGGCUCUUUAUUAUUGUGACCUGAUGGAGCCUCUCCCGGCCUUCGUUUCCGAGGCAACUGAUGUAAACAGAACCACGUGGAGUAGAAGCACGCGGGGAUCGAUAGAAGGUGUGGAGAUCGGAGGAAAUGGAAGAGUGUUGCUUAGGUAGAGGAAACAAAGAACCCAUAGAGCAUAUGAUUUAGCUCUAGAAAUGAACAUCUAGUCCAACUCUCUUCUUUUGCAAAUUAUCUGGGGAAGCAGUGGUGGAAUCUGAACUUCAGCUCAGUUACCAACUUCCCGUUCUAUGAUCCAAUCAGCUUCUACAGAACUGGCUCUAAGCUUCCUGGGAUGGAUUCAGGUCCUUCAUCUCAUUAGCAAUAAACACAUCAGCUCCCCUUCCUUUGCUGGUAAUUUCCGCUGAAUCGGAUGAUCUCCUAUCGUCCUUCAGCUCUUCUCCCUUGCCCGCCCAGCUGGAAGGCGCGAACCUUCAUCCCACCAGGAUAGUAGAAAUGGUUUAAUUUGAGAAUGCUCAGAAAAAUGAGCCUGGGAGUCUCCUUUGACUGGAGUUGGGUAAAAAAGACUGGGGCAGAGAGAAAAUUUGGAUAGUCAUGCAUUCAUCUUUCAUUCAGUAUUUACGUCUUUGAACAAAAGUAAAUAAUAUAUUACGGGACUGCUUUGUGCUAAGCUUUGUGGAAUAAAUGCUAAAACAAGACAUCCUCUUCCCUUAAGGAGGUUACGUUCCAAUAGGGGGAGAUAGCAAAAAGGUGAAGAGGUCCAGAAGUUGCUGCUGCUGUUGAAGACACUUCCAAAGCCCACCACUGGUGUUACUGCUACAUGUGCUUCGGCUGACCCCAAACCUGGCAUCACAGACCUCUGCUUUCAACCACCUAAGUUGUCUUUGGUUGAAAAAAAAUGUUUCUCUUG